AACCUGCCUGGAGUUGUUUCUGGGUACCGCCACCUGAAUGAUAGGG
rnacentral:rRNA from 1 species